rnacentral:rRNA from 1 species
UACGUAGGGGGCUAGCGUUGUCCGGAAUCAUUGGGCGUAAAGCGCGUGUAGGCGGUCCGGUAAGUCCGCUGUGAAAGUCGGGGGCUCAACCCUCGGAUGCCGGUGGAUACUGUCGGGCUUGAGUACGGAAGAGGCGAGUGGAAUUCCUGGUGUAGCGGUGAAAUGCGCAGAUAUCAGGAGGAACACCAAUUGCGAAGGCAGCUCGCUGGGACGUUACUGGCGCUGAGGCGCGAAAGCGUGGGGAGCAAACAGG